rnacentral:rRNA from 1 species
UACGAAGGGUCCAAGCGUUAUCCGGAUUUAUUGGGUUUAAAGGGUGCGUAGGCGGUUUAUUAAGUCAGUGGUGAAAGCUCCAUGCUCAACAUGGAAAUUGCCAUUGAUACUGAUGAACUUGAGUACACUUGAAGUGGGCGGAAUAUGUCAUGUAGAGGUGAAAUUCGUAGAUAUCAGGAGGAAUACCGGUGGCGAAAGCGACUCUCUGGACGGCAACUGACGCUGAGGCACGAAAGCGUGGGGAGCAAACAGG